rnacentral:lncRNA from 1 species
AAACACACUACUUGAACUUUGAUUUCUGGGUACAAAACAGUGAAAUUUCCACAAGCUUGAAAGAGAUCAAGGAAAUGCUGGACUCUAUAUACCUCCUUUUUUUUUUUAGAUGGACCAAAUGAGCCUUUCAACAGAUGGUUGUUCAUGAACACUGGUGCAUCUGAUCUGAAAGAAAUGAAGUUAAGAAGUACUAAAUCUAUAGCCUUUAAAUUAAGGAGCACCUUGCCUGCAUCUUUUAUAGUCUUUCUAAGCCACUAAAGUGGUGGUGUUGUUUUUUUUAACAAUUUUACAUGUGGAAAGGGGGGGGGGGAUAACUUUUUUCCCCCUUUAGUUUGACGUUAUUUGUAUUUUCUUAAAUGAAAGAAAAAAAGAACAUCGUAGCUUUCUCUGCUUCCAUUAAAAAUGGAGUUGGUCUAAUGGUAGAAAGCAAGCCUACAUUUUUGCAACAUUUCAUAGCAUGCCGAGAAAUAAUCCACUGAAUCAAGCGAGAAUGUGAAAUCCAGCACGCGUUUAUUUAAUCGUUUUACCAGUAACCCACAAUGCCAGUGAGGAGCUUUCUAUGUGCUGUUGGCCAAAGGGGGAGUAUAGUUUUGGGCACUCCAGUAUGAAGGGACAGUCUGUUCAAGAUUAACUUGUGUAAUUUUGGUCAGUUGGAUGCUGCUCUAUUGUCCCACGGCAAAAAUGUGUUCAAAAUGCUCAAAGGUAGUGUUGAGUGUGCUGUGCAAACAGACUUUAAAAAUAAAUAUUUUGUAUAUAGUGUGUGCAUCUGUAUGUGUUGGUAAAUGGGAACAAGUGAGCUGCUUUAACCCCGGGAUGAAUGAAAGGAAGGACACAGUGGUUUUCUCCUAUUUUUCAGCUUGGAAAGUUGCUGUUGCAUUCAUGAGGCACUAUGUGUACGUUUUUUAGUAAAGCCACGGGAACCAUAAAAGCAUGCAUAUCUGUGAUGUUACAUGAAGAAAUAUGCGGGCAUCUGCUGCUCACCUGUAAGGCCCGGGAAGUGUGCAUUGCUAUCCAUUGGUUUCCCUGCCUUCCUCUGAAGCCCUGGACACUGCCCACACCUAAAAAUACAGAUUUUGACUGUAGUACCCUGGUGCCAAGACCCAAGAGGUUUGUAUAUAUCAGGGGGUAUUAUUCUUCCACUCCGGGUCUAAGCAAUCUCUGUAUUUGGGUGAUAGGAUGCCAUUUUCCAUGA